CCCGAUUGUGGACAUUUCCAUGGCGAAGCAGCGGCUGGACGCCGCCGUGGCCAGGAUGUGGGAGCUGGACUGGGCCGCCAGGGCCGCGAAGCACGACAACCCGGAGGAGGUGGUGGCGGACAACAUGGCCGCCGUCAGGACCCUCGACCUCCCCAAGGUCGUCCUGAGGAAGGCGCCGCCGCCUUGCGACAGCUCGUCGGCGGACCAGAGGGUGCCCUCCAUCCACAACCCCGGGCCCGCCCCGAAGGACGACGCGCACCGCGGGCGGCGCCGCCCCGAGGCCGCCGCCGAUCGCAACGCGACCGAGUCGGGGAGGUCGAGGGUGGACGAGGACCUGCGCUCCACGGCGGAAUCCUCUUCGGCCAGGAAGCGAAGCGCCGGCGGGAGCCUGUGCGCC
rnacentral:lncRNA from 1 species